rnacentral:rRNA from 1 species
UACGUAGGUGGCAAGCGUUGUCCGGAUUUACUGGGCGUAAAGAGCGCGCAGGCGGUCGGAUAAGUCGAAUGUGAAAGCCCCCGGCUCAACUGGGGAGGGUCACGCGAUACUGAUCGACUCGAAGGCAGGAGAGGGUAGUGGAAUUCCCGGUGUAGUGGUGAAAUGCGUAGAUAUGGGAGGAACACCAGUGGCGAAGGCGACUACCUGGCCUGUUCUUGACGCUGAGGCGCGAAAGCUAGGGGAGCAAACGGG